UCAUUUCAGAACCGGCUCUCCAAAGAAAACACUGGGAGUGUGAGACAAUGCACGUGCUCUCAUACCCAUCACAAGAGUAGGAUUGGAAGAACAAGCUCCUCUGAAACCAGGAGCCUGUCAGAUGAAACAGAAGAUGGUUCAAAGUGGAACAAGAAGGACCAGUUUUAUGCACUUCGUAUGUUAAAUAAGAAAAGAUGAAACGAACAACAGAAGCAAAAAAGGUGUAUCUUUCACUGGUUAAACUUUGCAGAAGUUAUGGACAUAAUUCAUGGUGAGAACACAGCUGACAAAAACAGCACAUGGAGCCAAGUGAAGAAAUAUGAUUUUCACCAUAGUAAUAAUUUCUAGGUGUUCUGGUAAACAUCUGGAAAGCUGUAGUUGGGAUGUAAAGAUUUUGCCUGUAUUUUUUAAAGUCACGCUUCUUUGAAUAUUUUGCCAAUUCUGCACAUUUUGCUAUUGAUCUAUAUGGACCAGUGGACUUGAAACAGACUUUUCCAUUGAGCUGCAUUCCCAGAACAACACCAAUACCAUUCAGGCGGGUUUGUGUCCAAAGGCUGGGCUCCUCUCCCUGCCCUCAGCUCCAGAUGUUGCAAGAAUAUGAGCAGGAAGCCCAUCCUGCACCAGACAGCUAGAACAACAUUUUCAGAAGUCAAGUGAGUGACAAGUCCUAUUUGUUUUCAUUUAACACAGCAGGUCAGUCAAAAUCACACAUAAAAUACCAUUAUGAACUAUGACAAGUAAUAAUCCAUAUUUGCCAAGUGUAAG
rnacentral:lncRNA from 1 species